CGGAAAAUCGCAAGCAGCAGCCACAGUCGCAGCCGCAGUCGCAAGCAGAGCAGCAAGCAGUUGCAAGGGCGCCGCCUCCGUCGAUUAACCCAUUGGUGCCCCACUGGGUGACCAGCAUGACCGUGUUGCUCGGCAAAUCCCAAGUCGCUGGAAUGGACAACUGAAUUCCCCGGUGUUUCCCACUCGGACCUAACCUCACUUUAUCUUUGUAAAAACUCGUUUAUCGCACGUGCUUGGGCAUGGACUAAGAACAACAGGAUACUAGGAUAACUCAAAGCCACUAGGACCUUCGAAUAAAAACAAAAAAAAACGCUUCCAAUUGCAGGAAAAACGACUUGAAUAACGGCAGCCCAUCGGUUGGGACUUGAUCCAAACUGGCCCAUCAAUUUUGGUUCUCCUACCCGCCACCGGGCGCUGGCGGCGGUUCCUCAACCAGUUUCGAGCGCAUAAGGAAUAAAGCAUAACAAAUACGAAAAACAAACAAAGAUAAUAUCUGAAAACAUAAAUUGAAAAAACAAA
rnacentral:misc_RNA from 1 species